AAAAUUUUUGUUUCCCCCCUAAGGAAAUCACUUCCCGCCCUGAACGAAAAAAAUCCCUCCAAAAGUUAGAGGGAAUUUAUUUACUUUUUUGCUCAAUUUUCCCUCAUUUCUCCCUCCUUCGUUUCUCAUCACAUAAAUCAUUCAUUCUCCUUGGAUUUUCCCUCACUUGCCUCAUUUAUCAGUUGUUCAAUUGUUUCCCCUUAUUGGUGUCCUCCUCCUGCUGGACAACAAAACAUCACAAAUCAUCGAUGUAACAAACGAGGAGGCGGUAUGAUUCAGUGGGUUUAUUGUCAACUUGGAAGAUGCUAACGUCGAUCUGCCUUUGGAGAGCUUCACAGAGUCGACUCGUUCGAGAGCUGGAAAAGCUGACGAGGGUCGAGGAAUACGCCUUUAUCUCGCUGAUAGAUAGGAGAGCUAGGCGUUGUCUUUUGCCUAGUCAUGGUUGUGCCCGUGGGGGGUCGCGCCCUCCCAAAGUUUGCAAAGACUGGUGCUAGAACGUCAUGCUCGGUGGCUUGCGUUUCAGACGAACGCCACAUGUUCGAUAAUUUGUCUCAGAGAACAGCACCGCCGUCCUUCGCCUAGCCAGAGUUGCCGCCAUCGCCAUCUCGCUUCUUUGUUUGCGUGGGUUUGAUUAAUUAUGUAUUUCUGUAGCCCAAGCCUUUAGAAGUUGGAUUGAAAUGAGAUUUUCAUCGCAGCCGUUGAUGCCUUUGACUUCACCGAUAUCCGCCGUAGGAUGCUUAUUACUUUUAUUUUUUAAUAUACGCAUAACACAGGUAGUGGGGCAUCUAAAAUUCAAUAAUGACAAUAUUGUUUAUUAUUCUGAUGGUUAGAAAGCCAAAUCCCAUUAUUCAUUACCAGAAAA